GGCUAAUUUAUUGUGCCAGCAGCCGCGGGUAAGACAUAAGGGGGCAAGUGUUAUCCGGAAUUAUUUGGGCGUAAAGGGUGCGUAGGCGGUCUAGUAAGUCAGUGGUGUAAUGGCAACGCUUAACGUUGUCCGGCUAUUGAAACUGCUAAACUUGAGUUAGAUAGAGGCGAGUGGAAUUCCAUGUGUAGCGGUAAAAUGCGUAAAUAUAUGGAGGAACACCAGAGGCGUAGGCGGCUCGCUGGGUCUUAACUGACGCUGAGGCACGAAAGCGUGGGGAGCAAACAGGAUUAGAUACCCUGGUAGUCCACGCCGUAAACGAUGAGUACUAAGUGUCGGGUUAAACCGGUACUGAAGUUAACACAUUAAGUACUCCGCCUGAGUAGUACGUACGCAAGUAUGAAACUUAAAGGAAUUGACGGGACUCCGCACAAGCGGUGGAUCAUGUUGUUUAAUUCGAAGAUACCCGAAAAACCUUACCAGGUCUUGACAUGUUUUUGCAAAAUGAUAGUAAUAUCGUGGAGGUUACCAGAAACACAGGUGGUGCAUGGUUGUCGUCAGCUCGUGUCGUGAGAUGUUAGGUUAAGUCCUAAAACGAGCGAAACCCUUAUCGUUAGUUGCCAGCACGUUAUGGUGGGGACUUUAACGAGACUGCCAAUGAUAAAUUGGAGGAAGGUGAGGAUCACGUCAAAUCAGCAUGCCCCUUAUGACCUGGGCUACAAACGUGAUACAAUGGCUGUUACAAAGGGUAGCUGAAACGCAAGUUCUUGGCCAAUCCCCAAAAACAGUCCCAGUCCGGAUUGAAGUCUGCAACUCGACUUCAUGAAGUUGGAAUCGCUAGUAAUCGCGAAUCAGCAUGUCGCGGUGAAUACGUUCUCGGGGUUUGUACACACCGCCCGUC
rnacentral:rRNA from 1 species